rnacentral:rRNA from 1 species
UACGUGGGGUGCAAGCGUUGUUCGGAAUUACUGGGCGUAAAGCGUGUGUAGGCGGCUCGCUAAGUCUGAUGUGAAAUCCCUGGGCUUAACCCAGGAACUGCAUCGGAAACUAGCGGGCUUGAGUUCGGGAGAGGGUGGUGGAAUUCCUGGUGUAGAGGUGAAAUGCGCAGAUAUCAGGAGGAACACCGAUGGCGAAGGCAGGUCUCUGGGCCACUACUGACGCUGAGAAGCGAAAGCGUGGGGAGCGAACAGG